rnacentral:rRNA from 1 species
GCGGUGGAGCAUGUGGUUUAAUUCGAAGCAACGCGAAGAACCUUACCAGGUCUUGACAUCCCCUGACAACCCAAGAGAUUGGGCGUUCCCCUUCGGGGGACAGGGUGACAGGUGGUGCAUGGUUGUCGUCAGCUCGCGUCGUGAGAUGUUGGGUUAAGUCCCGCAACGAGCGCAACCCUCGCCUCUAGUUGCCAGCAUUCGGUUGGGCACUCUAGAGGGACUGCCGGCGACAAGUCGGAGGAAGUGGGGAUGACGUCAAAUCAUCAUGCCCCUUAUGACCUGGGCUACACACGUGCUACAAUGGGCGGUACAAAGGGCUGCGAACCCGCGAGGGGGAGCGAAUCCCAAAAAGCCGCUCUCAGUUCGGAUUGCAGGCUGCAACUCGCCUGCAUGAAGCCGGAAUCGCUAGUAAUCGCGGAUCAGCAUGCCGCGGUGAAUACGUUCCCGGGCCUU